GUCUAAAAGAAUCGGGCCUUUGACUUUGCUCAUGCUAGGACGAGGUUCUCCUCCUGUCCCUAUCAUGGCUGUGGGGGCACAUUAGGGUAUUGUUCGGCCUCUCCCCCCAUUCGGUCUAAAAGAACCGGGCCUUUGACUUUGCUCAUGCUAGGGCAAGGUUCUCCUCCUAUCCCUAGCAUGGCUGUGGGGACACAUUAGGGCAUUGUUCGGCCUCUCCCCCUAUCCGGUCUAAAAGAACCAGGCC
rnacentral:lncRNA from 1 species